rnacentral:lncRNA from 1 species
UGGGAGUGGACCGGACGUUCUUAGUGGAGGCAGUAUUUAAGGUAAGAUGAAAAAUCCUGGCGCCACUUUUCCCAUGCAAACUUCAUCUUCCUCAAACUUGUCUUUCUGAAAAUCUCAAAUCCUCCUCCUUCUCUCUAAAACCUCCCAACCUUUUCUCUAGAUUUCUAACCUCCAAUUCUUCUCCGAUCACUUGCAUCCGUUCAGGAUUAUUGCUGCCGGC